ensembl:piRNA 21ur-6970 ncRNA
UUCGCUGUAUAUUAGGCUCCG